rnacentral:rRNA from 1 species
AACCAGGAUUCCCCUAGUAACGGCGAGUGAACAGGGAUUAGCCCAGCACCGAAGCCUGCGUCCGUUUGGGCGUUAGGCAAUGUGGUGUUUAGGUCUAUUGCUUUCGUAUGCUACUUUGUUCCAAGUCCAAACUUGAAUAUGGCAUUUGUAUGGCCCAGAGAGGGUGAAAGGCCCGUAUGGACAGAGUGGUGUUUGACUGCAUUGACCAUGGAGUCGGGUUGUUUGAGAAUGCAGCCCAAAGUUGGUGGUAAACUCCAUCUAAGGCUAAAUACUGGCACGAGUCCGAUAGCGAACAAGUACCGUGAGGGAAAGUUGAAAAGUACUCUGAAGAGAGAGUAAACAGUGCGUGAAACCGAUUAGAGGCAAGCGGGUGUAGUCAAGCUGCAAGUUGUGGGAAAUUGGCGGAUCAGAAUGGCGUGAGCUUGAGCAUAUUUGAUCUGGUUUUAGGCGCGUCUGAUAGGCGUGUUCGGCUCGCAAGGGUCGGAUGUGUGAAAGUGUCAUAUGAUGCUGCAUGCCUAUUACUGGUUUGUUCUGCUGGUCCGUUUACUUUCUCAUAGCGUAUGUCACGACCCGUCGCGGCUGUCGGUCCGCUUCGUCUAAACCGUAGCGUGAGUAGCCUUGUGUUUCUUGCGUUGCGGGGGCAGGUAGCCAAUUUGGUUUCGGCCAGGUUGGUGUAAUCGCUAGGCGGAGUGGUAUCUGUGCAGUACGGCGGGGCUGGCGGUGCGUGGUACCGGGCGUGCUAAAGCGUGUCGGCAUAGCGUGAGUAUGGCUUCUUGUUGCUGCUUCUUGCGGCCCUGAGGUGGCUCUGCUGUGGUUUGAUGUGCGGCGGCGGCCGGGGCACCUUCGCGUAUGUGCGCUACAGUCUGUGGCGUAGUGGUA